CAGCAGUUCCGGUUGGUGUGGUUUUUUUUUCACUGAAGACCAAACAAAAGAGCUGAUUCUAAAGCGGACUGUGCGAUCUAGGAGCUCUCUGCCUCAGAAUGUGGUGAAAAUGGGAUCACAAGACUUUUUAUAAGUGGAGAUAGAUUCCUUUUCGGGAAGGUUACUAGAGGGAUCUGCAGGAGACUUUGCUGAUGGUCCACCAGAGCAUGGAAACUUGAGCUGAU